rnacentral:rRNA from 1 species
GACGAACGCUGGCGGCGUGCUUAACACAUGCAAGUCGAACGGUAAGGCCCUUCGGGGUACACGAGUGGCGAACGGGUGAGUAACACGUGGGUGAUCUGCCCUGCACUUCGGGAUAAGACUGGGAAACUGGGUCUAAUACCGGAUAGGACCACUGCCUGCAUGGAUGGUGGUGGAAAGCUUUUGCGGUUGGGGAUGGGCCCGCGGCCUAUCAGCUUGUUGGUGGGGUGAUGGCCUACCAAGGCGACGACGGGUAGCCGGCCUGAGAGGGUGACCGGCCACACUGGGACUGAGAUACGGCCCAGACUCCUACGGGAGGCAGCAGUGGGGAAUAUUGCACAAUGGGCGCAAGCCUGAUGCAGCGACGCCGCGUGAGGGAUGACGGCCUUCGGGUUGUAAACCUCUUUCAGCACCGACGAAGUGCAAGUGACGGUAGGUGCAGAAGAAGGACCGGCCAACUACGUGCCAGCAGCCGCCGCGG